UUGCGGUUAAAAAGCUCGUAGUUGGAUUUCUGUUGAGGAUGACCGGUCCGCUCUUUGAGCGCGUAUCUGGUUCAGCCUUGGCAUCCUCUUGGGGAACGCUACUGUGCUUGAUUGCAUGGGGCGGUAUUCAAGACUUUUACUUUGAGGAAAUUAGAGCGUUCACUGCAAGCGUUAGCAAUUGAAUACAUUAGCAUGGAAUAAUAAUAUAGGACCUUGGUACUAUUUUGUUGGUUUCUAGAACUAAGGUAAUGACUAAUAGGGACAAUUGGGGGCAUUCGUAUUAACGCGUCAGAGGUGGAAUUCUUAGAUUGCGUUACGACGAACUACUGCGAAAGCAUUUGCCAAGGAUGUUUUCAUUGAUCAAGAACGAAAGUAUGGGGAUCGAAGACGCUUAGAUACCGUCGUAGUCUAUACCAUAAACUAUGCCAACUAGAGAUUGGAGGUCGUUCUCUUUAUGACUCCUUCAGCACCUUAUGAGAAAUCAAAGUCUUUGGGUUCCGGGGGGAGUAUGGUCGCAAGGCUGAAACUUAAAGGAAUUGACGGAAGGGCACCACCAGGAGUGGAGCCUGCGGCUUAAUUUGACUCAACACGGGAAAACUUACCAGGUCCAGACAUAGUAAGGAUCGACAGAUUGAUAGCUCUUUCUUGAUUCUAUGGGUGGUGGUGCAUGGCCGU
rnacentral:rRNA from 1 species